CAGCAUGGCAGUGGGGUUCAGGCGGAGCUGUGGGAUCCUGAGAAGUAUUUCCCAUUUUGGCUGGAGAUCACAACAUACAAAAGCUAUCCCAAAACAUGAACCAGGAUUAGGAUAUAGUUUUCAUUUCACUGAAUAGCAGAAAGAAUUUCAAGCUACUGCUCGUAAAUUUGCCAGAGAGGAAAUAAUACCAGUUGAUGCAGAAUAUGAUAAAACUGGUGAAUACCCUGUCUCCCUAAUUACAAGAGCUUGGGAACUCAGUUUAAUGAAUAUACACAUUCCAUAGAGUUGUGGAGGUCUCAGACUUGGAACUUUUGAUGCUUGUUUAAUAACUGAAGAAUUGGCUUAUGGAUGCACUGGGGUUCAGAUUGCUAUUGAAGCAAAUUCUUUGGGACAAAUGCCUGUUAUUAUUGCUGGAAAUGAUCAGCAAAAAAAGAAGUAUUAGGGGAGAAUGACUAAAGAGCCAUUGAUGUGUGCCUACUGUGUAACAGAUCCUGAGCAGGCUCUGAUGUAGCUGGUUUGAAGACCAAAGCAGAAAAGAAAGGAGAUGAGUAUAUUAUUAAUGGUCAGAAGAUGUGCAUAACCAAUGGAGGAAAAGCUAAUGGGUAUUUUCUUACUGGCACGUUCUGAUCCAGAUCCUAAGGCUCCUGCUGGCAAAGCCUUUACUGGGUUUAUUGUGGAAGCAGAUACCCCAGGAAUACAGAUUGGAAGAAAGGAAUUAAACAUGGGCCAGUGAUGUUCAGAUACUAGAGGAAUUGUCUUUGAAGAUGUGAAAGUGCCUAAGGAAAAUGUUUUAAUUGGUGAAGGAGCUGGUUUCAAAAUUGCAAUGGGAGUUUUUGAUAAAACCAGACCUCCAGUAGCAGCUGGUGCUGUUGGAUUAGCACAAAGAGCUUUGGAUGAAGCUACCAAGUAUGCCCUGGAAAGGAAAACUUUUGGAAAGCCAAUUGUAGAGCACCAAGGGAUAACAUUUCUGCUGGCUGAAAUGGCAAUGAAAGAUGAACUAGCUAGAUUGAGUUACCAGAGAGCAGCCUGGAAGGUUGAUUCUGGUCACUGAAAUACCUGUUAUGCUUCUAUUGCAAAGGCAUUUGCUGGAGAUAUUGCAAAUCAGGUAGCUACUGAUGCUGUGCAGAUUUUUGGAGGCAACGGAUUUAAUACAGAAUAUCCUGUAGAGAAACUAAUGAGGGAUGCCAAGAUCUAUCAGAUUUAUGAAAGUACUACACAAAUUCAAAGGCUUAUUAUAGCCUGAGAACACAUUGGCAAGUAUAAAAACUAA